UACGUAGGGGGCAAGCGUUGUCCGGAAUCAUUGGGCGUAAAGAGCGCGUAGGCGGCCCUGUAAGUCCGCUGUGAAAGUCAAGGGCUCAACCCUUGGAUGCCGGUGGAUACUGCAGGGCUAGAGUCCGGAAGAGGCGAGUGGAAUUCCUGGUGUAGCGGUGAAAUGCGCAGAUAUCAGGAGGAACACCGGUGGCGAAGGCGGAUCUCUGGGCCUUACCUGACGCUCAGGUGCGAAAGCUAGGGGAGCGAACAGG
rnacentral:rRNA from 1 species